GGGCUUGUGGUUUAGUGGUAUAAUACUCCCUUAGCAUCCUAUGGCCCUUAGGUGCAUAGCACCGACGGCGCGCAUUAGCUUGGGAGUGGUCCGGGGUUCGAUUCCCCGCGAGUCCA